rnacentral:rRNA from 1 species
CGAUGAUGCAUAGCCGAGUUGAGAGACUGAUCGGCCACAUUGGGACUGAGACACGGCCAAAACUCUACGGGGAGGCAGCAGUAGGAAUCUUCCACAAUGGACGCAAGUCUGAUGGAGCAACGCCGCGUGAGUGAAGAAGGGUUUCGGCUCGCAAAGCUCUGUUGUUGGUGAAGAAGGACAGGGGUAGUAACUGACCUUUGUUUGACGGUAAUCAAUUAGAAGUCACGGCUAACUACGUGCCAGCAGCCGCGGUAAU